CAAGUCGAACGCGAAAGUUCCCUUCGGGGAGCGAGUAGAGUGGCGCACGGGUGAGUAACACGUAGGUAAUCUACCUUUGGAUUGGGAAUAACAACCGGAAACGGUUGCUAAUACCGAAUAAUGCAGCGGCACCUAAUGGUGACAGUUGUUAAAGCGGGGGAUCGCAAGACCUCGCGUCUGAAGAGGAGCCUGCGGCAGAUUAGCUAGUUGGUAAGGUAACGGCUUACCAAGGCGAUGAUCUGUAGCCGGCCUGAGAGGGCGGUCGGCCACACUGACACUGACAUACGGGUCAGACUCCUACGGGAGGCAGCAGUCGGGAAUUUUGGGCAAUGGGCGAAAGCCUGACCCAGCAACGCCGCGUGAAGGAUGAAAUCCUUCGGGAUGUAAACUUCGCAAGAACGGGAAGAAUAAGUAAGAGCUAACAUCUCUUACGAUGACGGUACUGUUUGUAAGCUCCGGCUAACUCCGUGCCAGCAGCCGCGGUAAUACGGGGGGAGCAAGCGUUGUUCGGAUUUACUGGGCGUAAAGGGCGCGUAGGCGGCCACCGCAAGUCGACUGUGAAAUCUCCGGGCUUAACCCGGAAAGGUCAGCCGAUACUGCGGGGCUAGAGUGCAGAAGGGGCAACUGGAAUUCUCGGUGUAGCGGUGAAAUGCGUAGAUAUCGAGAGGAACACCUGCGGCGAAGGCGGGUUGCUGGGCUGACACUGACGCUGAUGUGCGAAAGCUAGGGGAGCGAACGGGAUUAGAUACCCCGGUAGUCCUAGCCUUAAACGAUGAAUGCUUGGUGUCUGGGGUUUUAUAGUCCCCGGGUGCCGUCGCUAACGCUUUAAGCAUUCCGCCUGGGGAGUACGGUCGCAAGACUGAAACUCAAAGGAAUUGAC
rnacentral:rRNA from 1 species